UGAUCUGACGAGAAAGUUUUU
rnacentral:piRNA from 1 species